rnacentral:rRNA from 1 species
CAGUCGCCGCGGUAAUACGAAGGGGGCUAGCGUUGUUCGGAUUUACUGGGCGUAAAGGGCGCGUAGGCGGACUGAUAAGUCAGGGGUGAAAUCCCAAGGCUCAACCUUGGAACUGCCUUUGAUACUGUUUGUCUUGAGUUCGAGAGAGGUAAGUGGAACUGCGAGUGUAGAGGUGAAAUUCGUAGAUAUUCGCAAGAACACCAGUGGCGAAGGCGGCUUACUGGCUCGAUACUGACGCUGAGGCGCGAAAGCGUGGGGAGCAAACAGGAUUAGAUACCCCCGUAGUCCCUGUCUCUUAUAC